UACGUAGGGGGCAAGCGUUGUCCGGAUUUAUUGGGCGUAAAGAGCGUGUAGGCGGCCUGACAGGUCUGCUGUGAAAACUUGAGGCUCAACCUCGAGAUGUCGGCGGAAACCGUCUGGCUAGAGUCCGGAAGAGGAGAGUGGAAUUCCUGGUGUAGCGGUGAAAUGCGCAGAUAUCAGGAAGAACACCUAUGGCGAAGGCAGCUCUCUGGGACGGUACUGACGCUGAGACGCGAAAGCGUGGGGAGCGAACAGG
rnacentral:rRNA from 1 species